AAAUUGAAGAGUUUGAUCAUGGCUCAGAUUGAACGCUGGCGGCAGGCCUAACACAUGCAAGUCGAACGGUAACACAGAGAGCUUGCUCUCGGGUGACGAGUGGCGGACGGGUGAGUAAUGUCUGGGAAACUGCCUGAUGGAGGGGGAUAACUACUGGAAACGGUGGCUAAUACCGCAUAACGUCGCAAGACCAAAGAGG
rnacentral:rRNA from 1 species